CUCGUAGGCGGCCAACUAAGUCAGACGUGAAAUCCCUCGGCUUAACCGGGGAACUGCGUCUGAUACUGGAUGGCUUGAGAUUGGGAGAGGGAUGCGGAAUUCCAGGUGUAGCGGUGAAAUGCGUAGAUAUCCGGAGGAACACCGGUGGCGAAGGCGGCAUCCUGGACCAACACUGACGCUGAGGAGCGAAAGCCAGGGGAGCAAACG
rnacentral:rRNA from 1 species